ACGCCUUAUACAUGCAAGUCGAACGAAGUAGCAAUACUUAGUGGCAGACGGGUGAGUAACAUGUGGGAAUCUUCCCUUUGGAGAGAAAUAACACGAGGAAACUUGUGCUAAUGUCUCAUAAGUCUUUACGGAGAAAGCUUUUGCGCCAAAGGAUGAGCCCGCACUUGAUUAGUUUGUUGGCAGGGUAAUGGCCUACCAAGACUGUGAUCAAUAGCUGAUUUGAGAGGAUGAUCAGCCACAUUGGGACUGAGACACGGCCCAAACUCCUACGGGAGGCAGCAGUAAGGAAUCUUGCACAAUGGAGGAAACUCUGAUGCAGCGAUGCCGCGUGAGUGAAGAAGGCCUUUGGGUUGUAAAGCUCUUUCGUCGGGGAAGAAAAUGACGGUACCCGAAUAAGAAGGUCCGGCUAACUUCGUGCCAGCAGCCGCGGUAAUACGAAGGGACCUAGCGUAGUUCGGAAUUACUGGGCUUAAAGAGUUCGUAGGCGGUUAAAAAAGUUGGUGGUGAAAUCCCAGAGCUUAACUCUGGAACUGCCAUCAAAACUUUUUAGCUAGAGUAUGAUAGAGGAAAGCAGAAUUUCUAGUGUAGAGGUGAAAUUCGUAGAUAUUAGAAAGAAUACCAAUUGCGAAGGCAGCUUUCUGGAUCAUUACUGACGCUGAGGAACGAAAGCAUGGGUAGCGAAGAGGAUUAGAUACCCUCGUAGUCCAUGCUGUAAACGAUGUGUGUUAGACGUUGGAAAUUUAUUUUCAGUGUCGCAGCGAAAGCAGUAAACACACCGCCUGGGGAGUACGACCG
rnacentral:rRNA from 1 species